UCUGCAUCAUUUAAUCUUGUAACAACUCUGAGAGGUAAAUAGUCUAAUUGUGCUCAUUUUAUUAUGGUUAUCUGAUGUUUUCCUCUUCACUUUCACCUGUAAAGUAACUAGACAAUGUUCUUCAACCUCAUUUUCCCCCCCCUUAGGUCUGUUUCCUUUGCUUUGAGGUUCCAUUCUGUGUCAUUGGCCACGCCAAGAUAGAGGCACCCUAAAGAUCACGUGUCCACAUGGACCCUUCUCCCCAGGCUUCAACAGUGGAAUCACGCAGCUCAAAGAGAGCUGUCCCUGUGUACAUAUCAGGAAGAGAGAAAUCUCAGACGUCCAGGAGUCCAAUUUAGGAGAAAUAAAGACUUGAGAAAAUACCAAGGAGGGGCCGAUCGGUGUGUUUCGGACGCGCCUAGAACCCCACCCUCGGUCAGAGGAAAAGCUCCUGGGGUGAGACGCAGGAGCUUCAGAAAAACCAAGAAGAAAAGCAGCUCCCUCCGCGCGCCACGUCCUCUGCCUCGCACUCCUGCGCGGCCGGCCCAGCCUGCGCCUGGCCCGCGGCCCUUCGCCUGGCUGCGCCUUCCCACCCCGGCCUUCCGGGUGCCUCAGCCGGCGACCUGCCUCCGAGUCCUCCCAUGGCGGUAG
rnacentral:lncRNA from 1 species